UUUUUGUGGGGUGUUUCUGGUUGUCUGUGGGUCUGCCCUGUGGACAAGUGCCUGGGAAGGUGGUCUGUGUACCUGGGAAAUGACUUCUGUGGCUUUUCUGUGUGCUCUGCCUGUGGGUAGCUGUGUCUGUGAACUUAGCUCUAUGAAAGCAAGAAGCCUAUGAGAAUUCCGCCAGGGGCAAGCCUGGCCUUGGCGCUUCACUGUCUUAGCGUGUGUCUGGCCCUCCCAUUCCUGGCCAAGGCCCACAGCCACCACAGAUGACCUGCUGAUGCCUCUGCUGAAAUCCGUGGCCACUGGCCAACAGCUUGACAAGAGUGUCAGCUCCCUCCCGAGACGAAAUCAGAGGAAAACGCCUCUAGUUUCUAAGAAGCACACAGGGAGCCACUUCUUUACCGCUAGCUCCUGCAGGAUCUGUGGGAUCCUGCAGGUGCUGGUUUGCCUCCUGAGCCCUGUCCUAAGGACACUCUGCACAUCGCCUCCUGGUGAGUGAGCUGGGG
rnacentral:lncRNA from 1 species